rnacentral:lncRNA from 1 species
GGUCAAGAGCUACCCCGCUCGUAGGUAAAGAGCUACCCCGCUCAUAGGUAAAGAGCUACCCCGCUCAUAGGUAAAGAGCUACCCCGCUCAUAGGUAAGGAGCUACCCCGCUCAAAUCUCACAGGUGAAGGGCUGCCCCGCCCUCCGCCCGACUCACUUCCCAGUCCAAUGGGUGGGGAGCUACCCCGCUCGUAUUCCACCCGAUGAGCUACCCCGCUCGUGAGCUACCCCGCUCGUGUGACAACUGAGGAUACCCUGUCAACUAGGUUAACCAUCACUUGAUAAUCCACCUAUCCCUAGGUCCAUGUCAAGUGUUUCAACCAUAUCAAAUCUCAAUGGCACUCACCUAGGUCUAAGCAACUCUAGGUUCCACAACACUAGGUUUAAUGUCAACCUAUGUUUAACAACAUUAUAUUAAUGCCACUCGAUCUAUCCUAGGUUCACGACACUAGGUUUAGAUGCCACAUAAUCUCCAUAAUUAACAAUAGGUUAACAUUCAUUUCAUCUAGCAUAUAUGUUCUAUAAGGCCAACAUGUAUCAUAAUGCUAAUAUGCCAUUAUCAACUAGCAUGCAAUCCAUUCAUAAUGCUACAUGCAUACAAUCUCCAUCACACUAGUUCACAUGUCACUAGUUUCAUUAUCAAGUCCAAGUUCUUUAUUCUCUUAUCAUCAUAGGAUCUCAUGUCUCAACCUUAAUCAUCAUGCAUUCUAGAUUUAGGUGUCAAGUCUAUAAUACUACACAACUAGACAUGCAUUCGAGGAAAGUAGAAAUGUAACUAUACAUAUAUCCUAUAAUGCAUAAGAACCAUAUAUAUGAAAUAUGAUCAACUAUUUUACUCGGACAUAGAAGGAAGCCCGAUUGCUUCGGAUAGACACCCCCCACCUUUUAUAGCGUUCCGAUUGCUCGUCGUCACUUGCAAUCGGCCUCCCGCGGCACACGCCGCUCGGCUUGACCCAAUCCGCGCGCGACCACCAAACGACCUCCGAUCCGCGAUCCGAAAAUUAAAGGUCUUCGGUUUAUUGUCACGAUGCUUCAAAUCCGUUUCUACGAUGUUACGACGUCGCCUCGGCCCUCCAGGCGGAAACGAAGCCUAAACGUCCGUUUCUUUAAUAACUUCGCACUGGCUCGACGAAUCGCCGAACCGUCGCUUCCAACGCGUUCAGUGACCUAUCAAUUAGGUUUCCAGAGGGUCAAAUUAGAUCAAACCCUCAUAUUUUCAAAAAUUGCAUUUCGAGCCCUAGGUUUAUAACUAGGCAAGAAUUAACUAAAUUGAUCCUAGAUUCUAGCAAUAAUCAUCUAUUUAGCAUGCUAGAAUUCCAUUAAAACCAUUUUUAGAGCAUAAGGAUCAAUCCUUAGAGUUCUACCAUUAAAGGGUUUUGAAGCUUACCUCUCAAGCAAGCUCCAAUGGAGAGGAAGAAGAUGAAGUUGAUGAAGAUCAACUUCCAAGCUUGCUUCUCCACCAAAUCCAUCUAUUUUUGGGAGAGAUCUAGAGAGAGAAAGGGAAGUGUUCUCUCUCCCUUUCCAUGUAUGCGUGUGUGUUGUGUGUGUGCGGGUUGUGUACGCACGGUUGAGGGAGAAGAAGAAGGGAUUAAGUCCCUUUUACACUUUAGUCCCUCAACAAUUACACUAUUCACUCUAGGCAGCUCGAAAUCUGAUAUCUUUCGCCGGAGCUCCCUGAAUGUCCGUUUGAGCUCAAAUUUGACAGUCAUGUUCGGUUUAACGUACUGAACAAGAAUAUAUCUUAAGUUUUCAGUUUCGACCCCGUUUGGUCACCGAAAACUGUGCCGAACUGCAAUCUUUAUCAGAUGGCUUUCGGAUUUUAUUUCUCACUCUACGUGUGUCAGAAAAAUAUGAAACCUUAAAUCUAGCCUCAUAAAAAUAUUUCUGACUUGUCCUCCAAUUUUCAUAAUUUUCUGAGACUGUACAUUUUCUGCUAAUUUAUCUGCCCCGUUUCCCACAGAAAAUUCUAAAUCUUCUGUUUUCGCUCCGAUUUCAGCACAGGUCAUUCCCAACCUAUAUUUCACUUCUCUAAAUCCAAUAAAAAUAGUAUCUCAUACUAUUUUUUAUUUAUUUCUAUUUUUUUAUAUUUAAAUCCGAUAUAUUACAUUACACCGCAACCUUACCGGAACCAUUCAAAUGGCUCUCCAACCAAAUGGACACCGUAACCUCAUGAUUUUAGAAGUCCGGUACCUUACAUUCUCCCCUCCUUAAAAGGAGUUUCGUCCUCGAAACUAACUCACUUCAAACCCAAUUCACACCUCAACUCGACGUAUCGAGCGACAUAGGGUUCCAAUGCACUUUUAUACUCCGGGGUGGCCUUUCACUCAUUGGAAUCAUCCAAAGGCCCACCACAGAGGAUGUGAGACUAGAUUCACUCACUUUUGCUAAGCGUAGCUCCGAAAGUGCAUUACGAGUUUCCGUCAUUCUUGGUGGUAGCGCAAGUCGAAGCUCAACAACUCUACGCGCUCCAACACCAUUCACCAUUUGGCAUGCAAGAACUCUUCUUUGCAUUCACUUUCCCCCUCGGGGCAUUCCGAUUCGAUCACCAACAUUGCUCAAAAGCAAUAUCAUGGGUGCUUCAUCCAAUCGCGGGUGAUCUAACCACAUUCGGACCUUGCUCUACUGCGAGAUGGCCUACCCCGGCAUAUCUCGACUUCCAAUCCAUAAAAGAGCGUUAUCUUCAAGUUCUCCAACAUAACCCAGCCUGCCUGGGCAAGUUUCACACUCAGGGACCGGUCUCUCUUGCCAGGGGACCGGUUGCCCCGGGCUGCGCAACCCUCAGCCUCGGGGCAACCGGUCCCUCCUUCCUGGGACCGGUCCCCGAGAGCAAGCUUGCGCAGACAACGUUCGGGAACCGGUCCCUCCCUCCUGGGACCGGUCCCCGAGAGCAAAUCUGCCAAGUGCAGAUUCAUGCACCAUUUGCUCUCGCGGACUCCAUUCCAAAGCACUUUUGGUGCAUUUGACUUCUUCGGCUUUUCCGAAGCACUCCCACUCGACAAUUUGUCGACUUUGAGCGAAAUCCAACUCUCGUAUUUCGAGAAUUCACUUCCUUACUCCAACUCAUCAUUGGGCGAAAUUCUCAUUGGAGAAUUCGCACACACUCCAACCAGGAGUAACCACGACCCAAACCACUUCAAAUCCUGAGGUUGGGCUACAACUGCACUCUCAGUGUAUCCUCGAUCCCAUGAUCUAUCACGUGGAAGUCCACGUUCUCGGGUCUAAGCUCUGACUACCGUCCUGACCAUAACUCUGCCCUACCCCGGGGUCGCUGUCACCCACAGCUGACUGCGCCUGUCCAUAAGGUCCAGGCUCCACAGUCCACGAGUGGUCCAGGCACGGAUCGUCCUCAAGCAAUACCCGCAACCGUCGUCUCACACGACACGCUCACCCGAGCAACACACGUCACUAUAGCGUCACACACUACGCCCAGCAAUAGGCAACACUGCCUAUACACACCGGUCAACCACCGAUCUACUUUGGUAGGCGACACAUCAUCUCAACUCAUGCAUGCAUAGGUAAUUAUACCGACUCAUAUCCUGGUCCCUACUAUACUUGUGCAUUAGUAGUAAAUGAGUAUAAGCUAAAUGCAUGCAACGCCUAACUCAAUGUCAUGCAGGAGUAUAUGUAUAUGCCUCAAACAAAUCAUACCUGCCAUGACGUCGCGUGCCUCAAACUCGGCAGGUUCCUCGACUUAAGCGGCGAACACCCGGCCACUCGGAGCCGACCGGGUCGCCUCGAGCUGACGCGGCGCCCUCGCAGGUCCCGCGGAUACGGUAGUAGGCGUAACCCCGCAAAACUGCCUCGGAGUCACUGGGGCGGAUGCAAUAGACGGGACAGGCGGCGAUCCCUCUGGACACUGACGGCUCAUAUGCCCCGCCUGACCACACCUGAAACAUCGCCCCGCCCGAUGCUCACAAUUUCCUGCGCGAUGCUCCCCACCAUAGAUCACACAUCGCACAGCUCCCUGGCUCUCGAACUGUCUCCUCGGAUGCUUCGGGGGCUUCUUGGAACUAGACUGUCCCCCCGAGCUACCGCCAGGUCGUUUCUUCCCCUUGUCUUUCUCGAACACCUCGCGCUCCUCUCGCACGUGGGCAUCACCAUGCUCCGCCCACAAUGCUCGAUCAAAAACCUCGGCAAAAGUCGUGAGCUUAAACAGCUGCACCGCUUUAUAUAUCCACGGCCGAAGUCCCCGCAAAAACCACUCGGCUCGAUCUGCGUCAUCCUUAACAACAUCUGGGACGCAGUCUAUGAUAUGGGAGAACUCCUGCUCGUAGUCCGCCACGGAACGAUCCCCCUGUCUCAGUUUGCGGAACUUCUCCUUUAACUUCCGCUUCUCGGUGUCGGGGAAGUAAUUUCCAAACAUCUCCCUCUUGAACUCCUCCCAGAGCAUGGGUUGAAGGUCAGAGGGUCGAUCCCGCUUCAACCGCUUCCACCACACCUUCGCCGCUUUUCCAAGGCAAUGGGUGGCGAGAUACACCUUGUCUUUCUCGGAGGUAUAGAGAUCCUCAAAAAGUGUCUCCAUUGAGUCAAUCCAUGACUCCACCAUCAACGGCUCCACUUUCUCCCCUUCAAAGAUUGGUGGGUUGAACUUCUUGAGUCUGAUAAGAGCCGUCAACGAGCGCUCUCGCUCCAUCUCCUCGGCCGCCACAUCGGGUAUCGCCGAACCCGAAGCUGCCGGAGGAGCACUUGCUGGCGGGGGGGAAUGCCGCCAUCGGAACCGCCGCUAUACCCUCACCCUCAGCCACAUCAGGCGCGUGCAUCGGGGGUGCGGGCGGGUAACGACCUCCAGUCGCCAUCGCAGCCACCGCUGCCAUUUGCCGCUCCAAGAGCUCCUGGAGCCGCUCAAAUCGGGUCUCCUGGCACUGCACCACAUUGGUCAAUGCGGUCACUUGCGCCCGUAACUCCUGCACCUCGCUAGGCCCAGCUGACCCUGGCGCCUGGGGAGGUCCAGCCUGCUCUGACACCUCCGAAGACGGUGCCGGAACAGAUCUGCGCGUGUAGCGUCUUGGGGACACUAGUUCCUGCAACGCAAUAACCGGGUUAAUUAACUUAACCCACCAACUCGCUCGCGAUCACAACUACGCGACUCAACGUCGCAAACUAGGCGGAAGCACGUAAGUGUACUCAUUCUAGACUCUCGGCGUCAUGUUGUCGGCCGCCCAACACUACCACUUCGAGCCAAGAACUCAUACCACUUGAAUCCAUCUCUAGCCACGACUAGAGACAUACAAUCACUUCGACCCAAUCGAUCAACUCCCGCCACCGUAUAGGUCCACGUUCCACUCACGCACCUAUAACCUUACGGUUUCCCAACCUAAGGGUCCUCUAGGUCAAUCCUAGACUCUCUCUCUUUACUUGCUCUUAACUUGCUCUGAUACCACUUUUAUCUGUCACGCCCCGAAACCGAUACCAAUUUGGUCCAGUUCCGGGCGCGUCGAACAGACGCCGGAACGGACAGCACCUCCCCUGUCCGCCCAAGGCUAAACAACGAGAUUGUGUACAACAAGUCCCCAGAAAAAUCAACUUGAAUACAUACACAAUCGAUAACUAACAAUAGCGAGAGGCACAAUCCAGUGCCGAACACUUACAAGAGCAAGCAUCACAAGUGUAAACAAGUGAAUAAAAGAGAGAUAUAGCUAUCUAUUACCUCACAUUUGACAUUCAACAUUUACCUCCAUUCAACUUUUAAUACAACUUGAUUACAUUUAAGCUUCCAAAAUGAAUACAUAAUCAUAUCACAUAUAUAUAUAAUGCUAGCUAUCCAAAAUACAUCAUGUCAUCUAUAACCAUGCACACGAGGGUGCUCUAGUACAAUAGGAAAGCUCUACUAGCUAGCUAGGGCGCUACGCCCUUACCGCGAUCACCUGCCGGCCCGCUCACGUGUGUACCUGUACCCCAAAACCACACGGGGUGAGAACUAUAUAAAUAUAGUUCCCAGUGGGUUCGGCCGCCGACUCCGCCGAUCUUCCCACUAGGUCUAAGCUGGCACAGAUAGAUAGAUAGAGAGAUAGAUA